AUUGAACGCUGGCGGCAGGCCUAACACAUGCAAGUCGAGCGGAUGAAGGGAGCUUGCUCCUGGAUUCAGCGGCGGACGGGUGAGUAAUGCCUAGGAAUCUGCCUGGUAGUGGGGGAUAACGUCCGGAAACGGGCGCUAAUACCGCAUACGUCCUGAGGGAGAAAGUGGGGGAUCUUCGGACCUCACGCUAUCAGAUGAGCCUAGGUCGGAUUAGCUAGUUGGUGGGGUAAAGGCCUACCAAGGCGACGAUCCGUAACUGGUCUGAGAGGAUGAUCAGUCACACUGGAACUGAGCCACGGUCCAGCCUCCUACGGGAGGCAGCAGUGGGGAAUUUUGGACAAUGGGCGAAAGCCUGAUCCAGCCAUGCCGCGUGUGUGAAGAAGGUCUUCGGAUUGUAAAGCACUUUAAGUUGGGAGGAAGGGCAGUAAGUUAAUACCUUGCUGUUUUGACGUUACCAACAGAAUAAGCACCGGCUAACUUCGU
rnacentral:rRNA from 1 species